UCGUACCCAUAACCGCAUCAGGUCUCCAAGGUUAGCACGCUCUGGCCAACUAGAAUAAUGUAGAUAAGGGAAGUCGGCAAAAUAGUUCCGUAACUUCGGGAAAAGGAAUGGCUCU
rnacentral:rRNA from 1 species